rnacentral:rRNA from 1 species
GAUGAACGCUGGCGGUAUGCCUAACACAUGCAAGUCGAGCGGCCGGACGAGAAGAUCGCGCCCUUGAGGGUGGCGGGGGGCGGACGGGUGAGGCAUGGAUAGGAAUCUACUAUGUCUUGGGUGAUAACGGGGGAAAACUGACGCUAAUACAGCAUACGACGUACGGGUGAAAUCAAGAGAUCUUCGGACCUUUCGCGAUACUAUUAGACGACGCCGCAUUGGCUAGGUGGGGUGGUAACGGCACACCAAGGCAACGCUACGUAGCUGAGCUGAGAGGAUGAUCGGCCACACUGGAACUGAGACACGGUCCAGACUCCUACGGGAGGCAGCAGUAGGGAAUCUUCGACAAUGGGCGAAAGCCUGAUGCAGCAAUACCGCGUGGGUGAAGAAGGCCUUCGGAUUGUAAAGCUCUUUUGUUAGGGAAGAAAAGAAGCGGGUUAAUCUCCCGAUGUUUUGACGGUACCUAAACAAAAAGCCACGGCUAACUUCGUG